AGAAUUUGCUGUUAUUGCCAGUCCGUCCUCACAAUGUAGAGAUCUUAUCUUGAAGCAUUAAGAGCAAGAACACUGGAGCCAGCCUGCCUGGGCUCAAACCCCAGCUCUGUGUGCCUGAGUGGAUGGACAGUUAUGAAAAUCAAAUAAGCCAGUGCAUGUAAAAUCUUAGAAUAAUGCCUAUUGCAUGAGGUGAUAGAGAUCUGGCUUCUCACAGACAGCAGAACUUCAAAAGGAAUUGAGUUAUGGAUAAUGAUGAUGAAGAGCUCAGCAGAGCCAUGAAGACCGGAAGAUAAAACCGGUAACAGAUAACCUGUGGAGCUUGUUGGCUGAGGCAGCACUUCUUUCCACUUUUUUGUUUGUUUGUUUGUUUCAAACAGAGUCUCACUCGGUCACCCAGGCUGAAGUGCAGUAGCGUGAUCUCAGCUCACUGCAACCUCUGCCUCCCAGGCUCAAGCAAUCUGCCUACCUCAGCAUCCCAAGUAGCUGGGACUACAAGCAUGUGCCACCAUGCUGGACUAAUUUUUUGUAGUUUUUGUAGAAACGGGGUUUCAACAUGUUGCCCAGGCUGAUUUCGACCUCCUGGUCUCAAAUGAUCCUCCCACCUCAGCCUCCCAAAGUGCUAGGAUUACAGGCGUGAGCCAUUGCACCUGGCCCGUCUUUUUAUUUUUGAUAGAAAACAAAUUCCCAACCUUCCUUGCAGCUGUGUGUAGGUAAGUGACUAGUCCUGGCCCAAAGGAUGUAAGUGGAAGUGGUGAGUGCAGCUUCCAGGAAGUUUCCUUGAAAGGAUUUUUCUCCCUUAUCUUUUUCCUGCUGUCUGUGAAUGCAGAACUGAUGACUGGAGUUCAAGCAAGCCUGCUGGCUCAUGAGGUAAACAGGAGUCAUGCUUGGUGGAACCACAAGGGAGAAAGCUCCUGACUUCUUGAAUAUUUUGUGGAGCAGAGCUGCUGUACUUUCCCUGGACGACACAUCUUCUAAUUUUUAUUUGAGAGAAAAAUAACCUUCUAUCUUUUAAAGCCAUUGUUAAUUUUGGAUUCUUCUAUUACUCAUAUCCCAACCCAAUCUGAGUAAACACAGCCUUACAAUGAGUAAAUGCUGAAUACAUUUUGAUCUAUUAAAUUAUUAAAUAAAGACAGGGUUGUCUGCAAAAGAAGGUUGUGACACAGAAAAUGUAGACCAGUGUGGGCCAAGAUCAGUGUAGGAAGAAGAGGCUCAGGAGACUCUUAGGUGCACAAUAUAAGGGAAAAAAAAUCCAGAUCAAGCCUGAGCAGACAAUUCUCUU
rnacentral:lncRNA from 1 species